GCUGCUGGAGACAGACAACAACAUCUCACUUCAUACAUAGGACAUGCGCCGGUCUUUCUGUCUGGCUGUAUAAUGUCUCUUUAAUUAGGUUUGAUCAAUCAAUGUACUUGAAUACAACCCCAGAUUUAUUGUAAAUUAUAGUGGAUAUACCUGUAAAACUAAAACCAGUUGACAGCAAUACCAUGCAUUAUUGGUUGCCAGAAAUACCAUGCAUUUUUUUUGUUGUCCGUCCAAUGGUACUUCCUAGAUCGGUUUAAAGAGCCGAGAACAGAUGACAAUGAAGUUAGGAAAAGGGCCCACGGACUAUUACACGAAUGGAAUGAAGUUGUUAAAUGUUACAACAACAAUGGUACAAUUGUAGAACAAUUGGCAUACAGGCUUAGACUCUUCCAAUCGGGUAUACUUGCGGUGAACGUUUAAGGCCAACACAUUUUUACUGCCAGCUUUGGUAACACAAGACGUCAAGUGGCAGCAAAGAAGAAACAACGUGAAAGAUACAGAAGUUCUUGGCUACCAUCAGGACAAGCCUUCUCCUUGUUCACUGUUGAUUUCACUGCAAACGUGACUCAUAUAGGGAGUUAGGUUUCGGGAGCUGACUUGGGUCCUGUGUGGUAUGAUGAUGCAUAGUGGUUUUCACUGUCCUCUGAUUCCUCCGGAAGCAAUGGUCCGGCGCAUUUAAAUACAGCUUGGGCAAUUUCUGGCUUUAAUUCACCAUGUAUUCAGUAUAAUACUAAUAUUUCGAGAGGAUAAAGUUCCAGAAAAGGGAGGUGACAAAGUAUCAUUCCAUCCGGCAUCGAUGGUCAUGUCUCAUUAAAUUUAAUGAAUGGUAAUUUGGUGAAGUCAAAGUAAGUGAAACCAGCCCAUGCAGUUUGUAAGCUUAGGUCAACCUUUUAGACUAAUAAGCCAUGUCAGCGUUGACAUAGCAGGUGAAAAUAUUCCUACAUCUAUAAUUUCAGUCAUGUGGAACACAUUGGAAAAAUUGACAAAUAUUUCAACCAUCUCUGUAUUUGUUUUCUGGCCAUGGCUUGUUAGAUAUAAUAAUAAUAAUAAUAAUAAUAAUAAUAAUUGAUCCGUUUUUUAUAGCGCUAUAUAUAGCUCAUUAAUGUGCAAUGGGAGUUUCCAGUUCAACCACAUUUUGCAGGCAAGGUUGCUUCAUGUCUCUUCAAACGGUCCCAAAAGGGACCCAUUUGAUUAUCACCACUGCACACAUUUGAACAUUUGCAUGACGUCUAUCAUGGAUCAUGCCAAUAAAGGACUUUUAGCUCCAUAUUGAGUCUUCAAACUCGGCAAAUAAAAGUUAUGCUUUGCAUAAUGGUUCCUUGAUAUGACCUUACAGCACUAUUGAUAUAGGACUGGGUCAUUUAAUGGUGAUGCCAUUGAAAGAAGAAGGGGGGUACAGGCUGUUUGAAUGCAGGCCCCUGAGCCGAUUGGCUUUCCUUAUCUCAGCCAUCAUUUCACAGACUUCAAUCGGGUUACAAUGCAUGUUUUUAAGUUGAACAAAUCCUACAAAAGUGGGUCAGACUUAAAUUUGGUGUUCUGCCGUAUUGUACUCAAAGAUUUGACCAGAUACCAUACACAAUGGGGCCUGGCCUAGUUAGCUGUUGUAUUUGAUGAGGUGAUAUGCUCGAUUGGAUUCCACUAUUGAAGUAUACUUGUGGGACCAUCCAGAUAUUCAAGUUUUCCUCUCUCAAUGAAUAUCAAGUCUGUUUGGUAUUAACAUCAAAUGCCCCUUUUGUUUUACAGCUCAACAACAGAUCCCGGUCUCUGACCCCCACUUUUAGUUGAUUAAAUCCCUCCACAUCAACUAUUGAUGUGUAAAUGGCCCUUUUCUUGUCUACAAUCUUGAAUCUGGUUGGAAUCUGUGGGGUUCCUUGUAUCAUGAUGUGAAACUCCCUCCACUGAGCGAGUGGGUGCUGACUGGACUGCAUAGGGAGACUGAUAUUGAGCUCACAAGAUCAGGGUGACCAUGUCAUGAGUCUAGUGUUUAACUACAACUUCAUUGCGGGUCCUUCAAUCGCUGCUUGUUUCCCGAGCCGCCAUCGACCUUCGAGCUAUCAGUGCUGUCCUAAUAAUAACCAGGCUAGCUCUCUAUGAAAUAGGAAAGCUUCAUAGAAAGCUAGCCUGGAUGUACCAACCUUACCUUGGCCUGUCUUUACAGUCCAUGUCAUAAGACUGGCCUUGUGCCAAUCACUGAUUCUCUUCCUAAAUCCAGCCGGAUGAACGUCGAACACAGCUCAUGUCUUUUCCUCAGACAAAGAAAUAAACAGUGCACCGGCCACCUUAAUGUUUCUUGUCUUGCUGUUAUAACAUCUAUUUCUGCAAAGAUGUGGGCUAUGGCUGCAUCGAUUACUGAACGUUUCUUGUUGCGUGGGAAAGUGAAUUGAAUGAUAGCCCUGUUGACCAUCCAUAGUCCUAGGUCGGUAAGGCCUAAAAAAAAAAAAAGUUUGGUUCCUGUUGGUUGUCAGUUGAGGUCAUGGGUAGGUAGGGAAUUUAUUUUAUUUUUUUAUUUUAUUUUUUCCAGCGGCAGCGAAUGAUAGGUAGGUUGUUUUCAUUUAAAAACGAGAAAAUUCGCUCAUCCUUGUACAGAAUGAAGAGGUGCUGUACCAAACCGUGAUUAUAGUUAGCAUAAAAAAAAUAAAAAAUAAUAAUUUGGGUCGCACAUAAAUUGACAUGGUCGGUCGGAAACCGGAACCAAACAAA